AUGAACGCUGGCGGCGUGCCUAAUACAUGCAAGUCGAGCGAACGGACGAGAAGCUUGCUUUUCUGAUGUUAGCGGCGGACGGGUGAGUAACACGUGGAUAACCUACCUAUAAGACUGGGAUAACUUCGGGAAACCGGAGCUAAUACCGGAUAAUAUUUUUAACCGCAUGGUUCAAAAGUGAAAGACGGUCUUGCUGUCACUUAUAGAUGGAUCCGCGCUGCAUUAGCUAGUUGGUAAGGUAACGGCUUACCAAGGCAACGAUGCAUAGCCGACCUGAGAGGGUGAUCGGCCACACUGGAACUGAGACACGGUCCAGACUCCUACGGGAGGCAGCAGUAGGGAAUCUUCCGCAAUGGGCGAAAGCCUGACGGAGCAACGCCGCGUGAGUGAUGAAGGUCUUCGGAUCGUAAAACUCUGUUAUUAGGGAAGAACAUAUGUGUAAGUAACUGUGCACAUCUUGACGGUACCUAAUCAGAAAGCCACGGCUAACUACGUG
rnacentral:rRNA from 1 species